GCGGCUGUAGCUCAGCUGGAUAGAGUACCUGGCUACGAACCAGGCGGUCGGAGGUUCGAAUCCUCCCAGCCGCGCCA
rnacentral:tRNA from 121 species